GUGAUCAUAGUUAAAUAAUAAUAGUAAUAGAAAAAACAGGUUUGAAGUCAAGCAUAACUCAUUUAAAUCAUAUGACUGUCACUAAUUAGCUAUAUGAUCAUGGGACUGUCAAUCUCUCAGAGUAUCUAUUUCCUCUUUUAUGAAGUCAGCAUAAAAAUCCCUGUUUUUAGAGAGUUUUUUUCGUAAGAUUGAUUAAAAUAAUGAACAUAACUCACCUGGCAUAUACUAUGAAUGGAAUAAUGACUGGUAUGAAUUUAUGAUAAUGAUGAUGAUAAAGGUUGUUCCUUCCUAUACAGCAUCAGCUGAAAUUAAUUUGACAUGGUCCCACAAGACAAGCUGAAGAUUAUUCAAGUUAACCUAUGGAGGCUUUUUCUUAAAUGAGAACAAGUCUACCUUUGGUGGUUUUCUUCACUUUAGCAACAUCAAAUCAUAUCAUCCUUUAGAUAAUUUCAUAUAAUACCAUGAAAUGCUAUCACACAGAAGGUAAAUGGGGAUAACUGAUGUGCUAUCAACUCUGCCACAGAGUUGUAUUACUAGUGUUCAAUGUUGUAAUGAUAGAGAAAGGACUGGACGAGCGAGGUGAGAGUAACUGCUGGGAAAUAUGGUCCAAGUGCUCCUGGUCUUCUCUACUGUCUACCUUAUCUCUGUAGAUAAAGGUUUCAACAGUUCUUGGCAAGUCUCUAUGAACUCGGCCAACUAUGCACAAAAGAACUGGUAUCAAUUUUAAUGUAGUUAAUAUAUUAUGUAAGCAGUUUAGCCUAGUUCUCUUAAGAGCAUGGAUUUUAGGUUUAGCUGACCACUAGCUCUGCCACUUACUUCAUGUAUACCCUCAGACAAAUUACAUGGCCUCUCUAAGCCUUUACUUUCUUAUCUAUAAAAAUACAAAUGAUAAAACCUACUUCAGAGGGCCAUUAUCAGCAUUAAAUAAAAUAAUCUAUGUAAAAGUCUCAGUCUGGUGCCAGGUACAUAGUUAGCACUCAAAAAUUAGCUAAUAUUUACCUACCAAACCACUAAGUAUUACUUACAUCAAAAGCAAUCUCUACUGAGCAUGACAUUUUUUUCACAAAAGUUCCUAGAGGGAAUUAAGAGGUCAUAGAAAACGAAUUGGGUUAGAACAUUCAUGCACUCAUCACUACCACCAUGCAGAAGUUGUGCAAUGUGAACUCCAAAGUGUGUAAAGGCUUCAUUUCACUGUGUGAAUUCAGGUGGUAAAUACUACGGAUAUUUUUCAGGUUAUUUGCAUAUUUAUUAUUUCUUUUAAUAGUAUUAAUUCUUACUCCAAUGUAGCCCUGACCGUGUUACUGACAAUGUUGAUUGAAUAGGUAUUAUAAGAAAUGCUACCAAGUUCCUUAGUGUGAGUCCUACAUGUACCCUUUCCUGUCACUAUUACUUCCAACUUUCGUGGUAUUUCUGACUUCCAGCUGUAAAGAGCCCAUGAAACUAUGGUUUCUCUACUUGUCCUUUUUGCCUCAGCCUAAGAAACAUAUCUUGUGAUUUACAAGAAGACAGUCAAUAUUAUGGGGCAGCUUGAUUGCUAUCCUGCACAGAGGCGUGAGAACAGACUUGACUGCAUUUCAAGGACCUUUGAAUCUAACCUUGUAAUUCUACUUGUUGUGAUGUAUUUUUUUCCACAAGAGAUAUCUGAGUGUGUGAUACACUAGUUCUGCACUGUGCUAGGCACUGCAGGGAGAUCCAAAAAUUAUGAGGUAGAACCCAUGCUUCAGAAAAGAUGAAAAUUAACUGAGGAGACAGAACUCGCAAACAUAAAACAAUCAGAAGAAUAGGCUAAUCAUGUUCUCCUUAUGGAACUCAAAAAAAAAAAAAAAAACAACAAAACAACAACAACAAAAAAAACGACCUCUCUAUCAUUGUUUUUCAUCUUAAGUCUGUAGCUUAAGGUGUCAAUAGCUGAUUUUGCUACUGGCUAUGCUCCAAAUAAAUCUCUCUAAGAAAUGACUUCCCAUUUCUGAAAAUGUUUCCACUGCCAUAUUUUCUCACACAAAAAAAAUGAAACUAAAUUGGGGAUUUCUAACUAAUAUCCUGAGUGUAAGCAAUGUUUUUUCUCAAAAUAACAUGUCCAUUAUCCAGAUACCACACUGGCUUUCAAUGGCAGAAUUUGAAUGUCUUCAUAAAUUUUCCUAUUCUAUAGCACAAGGCUUAUAUCCGAAAUCAAAAUGGCCCCAAGGGUGCCAAUCACACUCAUGGGGAAAGGUAUGGUGAGUUAUGUCAAGGUGGCCUGCAUAGGGCUCUGCACGCCUCAAUCUGUGGGGAGUCUCUCUCUACAUUGACCUACUGGAUGAGCUUAUCCAUUUCCAUAGCUUUAGUCAUCAUCUUUAGGGGGGUGAUCUAAAAAUGUCCAUCUUCAGGACUUAAUUUGCUGCUCAGCUCUAGGCCUGCCUUCCAAUUGUCCACUAGACAUCAUCUUCCCAAACUAGAGUUCCUCAAGAAUUCCCACUUCUAUCAAGAACACCACAAUAUUUCCAGUUGACUUCAUAGACAUAUACUUGAUUCCUGUCCUUCUCUAUUUCUUCACCUCUAAUCUGUCACCAAGCCCUGAUGGUUUUGCUUUUAAAUAUCUGUAUUUGCCUAUUCCUCAUUUCCACUGUCACUUUCGUAGUUCAUGGUAGAAUUUCACUUAACCCAUGGUACUAGAAACAUUUCUUUGUAAGAUGCCCCGCUUCAUCUCUAGCCUGCAUCCAUUCAUUCUCCUUACAAAAAGCAGUCUACUUUCAACACCAUAAAUCCACAUCAAACAGUCCAUAUAUAUUUGUUGAAAUGAGAUGAAUUAAAUUGCAUUACAAAAUAUUCCUAUAUGACAGACAGUUUCCUUAUUUGGAACAUGUGCAUAUUAAUGAUUUAGGGAUGCUAUGAAUGCUAGAGAAUAAACACGAUUUCAAGGUAUUUUGCAAGCAUAAUGUCCCAGGACUUUGAAAUAAAAAUACAUUUCUAUCUACUAUAUUCACAUUCUAUGAAACCAUCAGAAUUUUUGCAGUAUGAUGUGCUUCAUAAUACCAGCUUAUUAACAUUGUGUGUUCAUAUCUAUGGUGCUGCCUUUUGGAAACUGAGCAAAAUUCUCAGAGUAAGGUACUCACAGUGAGAUGGGUCAUACUACUGGCCCAUCUAGGGCAAUAAGGAGGCAAUCACUAAAUUAAGCUCUGAUGAAUGUGAGAGGUUAACUUAUUUCUCCAACCUAAUCCAUUUAUUUUCAGCUCCACUAACUUACUAAAGGAUCAAACGGAAUAUAUUUAACUAUAUGAUCAAAAUAUAAGGAUGAUUCACUGACUUUUCUAGGUUGGUAGUACAGCAAUUGAUUUGCUGGUACAACCCUGCAGACACCAUCUUGUACAGCUACACUGCGUGAAACAGUGCCAGGCAAGCCACCCUGCAUUUUCACUGAAUGAAUGCAGGCCUUCUUUGCUGCCCUUGUUGCCGCCCAUUUGACUCCUGUCCCAAGUCAGACAAUCUUGAAUUCAUGCAUUCUCCUGAAAAGUGCACAUGGCCCUUGGCUUCUUCUCCAUUCCUAUAUGUCUCCUCCUCUUUCACAAAGAUCCAGCCACAUGAACCUUCUGUGGAGUUCUUAAACCAACAAUCAGCUUCUUCUUUCCUGUCUCUGGGC
rnacentral:lncRNA from 10 species